AAAUCACAGCACUGGAGUGGGGCUCAGUCAGUGCAGCAGGCUCCAGGGGGGAGAGCCGAAUGCAACUGUUCCCAGGGACUGAGAGAGGAUUUUAAGGGCCCAGAUGGAAGCUUCUGGAGCUCCUGCCCCGUCGGCCCAGUGUUCAGACUACCUGUUCAGGACAAUGCCGUUGUACAGUAGUCUGCACAUUGGUUAGACUGGGCAAGGCACAGCAACGCCCUGGACGGCUGGGACACGAGUGGCUGUUUCCGAGGAGAGGAUGUUUGUUGGCUCCUCUUUCGUAUCUCAUAUCCAGUGUUUUUCUUCACAGGUUUUGCACAGUAGGGACCAAGAAGCUCUCGGGGACACCGCUGGGAAAAGACUGCUCCAGGGAAGACCUGCGGGGAUCAUGGGAUCUAUUCCAGAGAAAAUUAACCAACAGUGAUCAUCUUCGACUAAAACUGCUCGCGGAUAAAAUGGGAAGUGUUACAUCAUUCCUUAAUUGAGCAGAGUUAACUGGAUCAAAGUAUUUAUGGGAGAGAGAGGGAAAGCUAUACCGAAUUACAGUAAUUUUUAAUUUCUACAAAUAUGCUCUUUGUAAGUGAAUCACUCUAUAAAUAUUUUCUGUUGCACUGAAUGCAGCAACGAUAACAAAAUAGUUGCUUGAGGUAUUUGUUUUCCCAUACUCUGACCUUGUAAUUAUUUAAUGGCAGCCAAGUUCACUGAUGUUUUUGAUUUUCUCAAGAAAAAACACACAAAAGUCCUCUACUCAAAAGUGAUGACCAGAAACAGAAUCAGACAUUUAUUUUCUUGGAAUUAAAUAAAUGGAAACUUGCACUUCUCAACUCUUUGUUAAAGCUGUAGCACAUCUAAUCAUUGCAUAAAGGUUAAGCUGUGUACAAAACUCAUUUUUUCAUAGCCUCUAAAAAUUAUUUUGUUCUCCAUAAAGUUUCUAUCUGCUAUUUUUCUCAGAAUUUUACAGUGAACAGGAAAUAUACUAUUUAUUUUCUUUAAAAUUCUUUGAAAAAAAUCCUAAUUACAUAUUCCUUGGACAAUAAUGUUUUUUUGUUGUUGUUUUAGGAAAUCCCACUUAUUGUAAUUCUGACUAUCUGGUGAUUUUGUUGUUUAAAGGGCAGGGUAUGAAUUGAUCAUUUAUUUUAAAAGAGCCAGUAGAGUUAUUUUUGACUCACCAGAAUUAAAUUUUCUAUCUGUAUAUUUAACACCACCACUCUUUCUCUCAUACGAGUUAUAAGGAAAUUUCCAAAGGGCCUGGUUUUACUUUUUGGAUAUGAAAUGAAGUUUCAUUUUUUUGUGUUUAAGGGGCUGUUUUGUAACUGUCGUGCACUAACAAGGACCAAAACACAAUCUGAGUGAGCAACUCUGUGGCCAACAGCUGUGUAGUUUAUACCCUUUUGAUUCAUGGCAGGGCACUAUGAUUAAUGAAGCGGAGGACUUAAGUUCACAACUGCUUUUGAUUUGGUUUUCACAUCCAUACUUAAAAACUGCAUUAAAAAGAAUAUGAGAAAUUUAAAUAAGUUCCUGUUUUAAUAACAUAUUGGUAAAAAUACAACCCAUGUUAAAAUCCCAAAGGUCGGCUGGUUGAACUGCCAGAUACAUCAGGCUCAUUAAUUAUUUUUAAAAUGGCUGCCAUUUCCAUGUAAAUGAUAAGUUUCUUUUUCAUGGGGAAGGUUAUGGUACUUAUCUACUACAACAAACAUGUAUAAACAUGUCUUUAUCUUUAACUUCAGUAUUAAAAUAUGCAGAGUUUGGGGAAGAGGAAAAACAUCUGGUUCAAUUACUCUGAACUCUGACUGCAUUAUGGGCCAGUAAUAACAUGAACUGGAGUUAAGAAUAAACCUGGUGUUUAAUCUUUUUUUGUUUGUUUGGUUUUGCCUUAAAAUUUCAAUAUGAGUUUUCUGUCAAGUCAAUGAUCCAUGUUAGCACAUGGGGAACAAAUGUAUAAGUGUACUUUCUGAAUAAAGUCGAACGUCUAACUUGUUUUUAGUUCCAUAA